rnacentral:rRNA from 1 species
GAGUUUGAUCGUGGCUCAGAGUGAACGCUGGCGGCAGGCCUAACACAUGCAAGUCGAACGGCAGCACAGCAGUAGCAAUACUGUGGGUGGCGAGUGGCGGACGGGUGAGGAAUACAUGGGAAUCUACCCUGUCGUGGGGGAUAACGUAGGGAAACUUACGCUAAUACCGCAUACGACCGAGAGGUGAAAGCGGCGGACCGCAAGGCGUCGCGCGACUGGAUGAGCCCAUGUCGGAUUAGCUAGUUGGCGGGGUAAAGGCCCACCAAGGCGACGAUCCGUAGCUGGUCUGAGAGGAUGAUCAGCCACACUGGAACUGAGACACGGUCCAGACUCCUACGGGAGGCAGCAGUGGGGAAUAUUGGACAAUGGGCGCAAGCCUGAUCCAGCCAUGCCGCGUGAGUGAAGAAGGCC